AUGGCUUGUUGUAGCGUGGACUGUACUAACCGACCGUCGAAGGAGUCUGUAUGGACAAAAGCGCUGUGGCGUCGUGAUAAGAAUCUGUCUCGGCGAUGCGUUGUGUCUUUGAGGAUGACACAUUUUGCACAGUGUGAAGAUAAGACUGGGCAUGUCUCUUGGCUGAGAUAGCAUCACGCUGCACAGAUCCAGGAUUCCAGUCUGGCCUCCCUCAUCCCACAUCCUACUCAGCGAAGCUAUCGAGAUGUCGUCACAGCUGCAGCUCGGUGUCGUAGCCUGGGCUGCAGGUCCGGGUCUGCAGCUGAAUGGAAACUGCAGGACUGUAGUAAUUUACUGGAAAUGAGUCUGUGGCAGUGACUCAACGCAAGGCAACAAAAAUCCCAGAGAAGAAAGAUGUUGGCUCUGCUUUAAAGAGUGGCUUAAAAAUACAUUAGAUUUUUUUUUUCCUCUGGACUAUAUGUGGGUCACAAGGAAACAGUGAAAAACAGGCAAAUUUAUUUUUCCUAGGCCCAUUUUGCAGGGCAUUGAGAGCUGGAUGAAGCCACUGGGGUUGAACAGGGCACAGGAACGGGGUUUACUUCAGCUGCACUUUUUCCGAGAAGCGUUGGGUUUAAAGCUGGCACUGGGCAAAGUGAUUUUCUCACCAGGGAUUAGUG